rnacentral:rRNA from 1 species
AGCAGCCGCGGUAAUUCCAGCUCCAAUAGCGUAUAUUAAAGUUGUUGCAGUUAAAAAGCUCGUAGUUGAAUUUCGGGAUCAGUUGGUCGGUCGUGCCUCGGUACGUACUGGUCAAAUUGAUUCCUACCUUCUGACGAACCACGAUGUCAUUAAUUUGGUGUCGCGGGAAAUCAGGACUGUUACUUUGAAAAAAUUAGAGUGUUUAAAGCAGGCUCGCGCUUGAAUACAUUAGCAUGGAAUAAUGAAAUAGGACGUUUGAUCCUAUUUUGUUGGUUUCUAGGAUCGACGUAAUGAUUAAUAGGGAUAGUUGGGGGCAUUAGUAUUCAAUUGUCAGAGGUGAAAUUCUUGGAUUUAUUGAAGACUAACUACUGCGAAAGCAUUUGCCAAGGAUGUUUUCAUUAAUCAAGAACGAAAGUUAGGGGAUCGAAGACGAUCAGAUACCGUCGUAGUCUUAACCAUAAACAUGCCGACUAGGGAUCGGAUGAU